UUGGAUUUUCCAAAUUGGUGUUCUAAAAAACAAUAUUUCCCUGUAGCCUUGCCCCUUUUCUUAGAAUCACAAGCUCCUCAACAUCGGUGGAAGACGGUUGUGUAUUUAAGUUAUAAGUUGAUCUACUAGGCACAUCAUAAUUAUCAAUAUGUCUGAUCAGAUAGUAAACAUCAAUAAUACAUACCAUGUUAAUGGUGAUGGGGUACAAAUUGGGAAUGGUCAAAAUGCAUUACACAUCAACAAUCAGCUACGGGAGGAGGUGGGUGAACUGAGAGAAGAGGUGGAUGAGUUAAAAGAAAGGGUCAGACAACUGGAGGCUAAAUUACAGACUAAUACUGAUACAAACACUGAGAAACCAGAAUAUCAGAUGGAUGACGAGGAGGAGGAGGAUGGGGAUAUGAUUACUCUGGACGUCAGGUGUCUUGGGUAUAGUAAGAUGGCUAUAAGUGUUAGUAGAGAUAAAACUGUAAGUGAUCUAGAAGCUAUAAUACAGGAGGAGUGGAGAAGGAAGUAUGGUAUAGAUGGUGUUUGUUGUAUUACCGGUAUCUACAGUGUAAAACAGGAGGAGAUCAUCUACAACUAUAAGAUCAACAACAGAGAUCGAUUAUUAUCACAUUAUGGUAUAGGUAAUGGUGAUACAGUCUACUGGUGAUAGUCGUUUUGAUUAUAAAACAGGAAGAGUUUAUCUAGAUAUAGUCCUGUUCAGUGAACUGAUAUUUACACCAUCCCAUCUAUACGUUAUCACAAUGUCAUAUUAUAAAUAACUUAUAUUUUGUCAUUUGUAUUCCAUUUAUUGACAACCCUGGCCUUAUAUGUCUAUUGGAUUUGAGAUAAUCUUGGAGAACUGCACAAUAAAAUACAGACAUAACAAUAAGAACAACUCUUAUAUAACGAAACUUGGUUUACAAGAAAGAUUCAGGGGAUAAACUGACACUUAUUAUAAAAUUAUUAUUGAUCAAAACAUUUGCAUAAUUAAAAGACUUAAUUCUAUACUGACCAAAUACUUAUAAUCUUAGAAAAAAUACAAAUAUUUCAGAUUAUCAAUGCUGAACAAAAAUCUUCUCGGGCCCUCUUCAACUAACGCAUGGAACACAUACUGAUGCUUCCAAAUACAUAUUAAAUGAUCUUUUAUUCCAAAUUUCUUGUAGUGAGCUAAAAAGACAUAUGUCCGAAGAUCUAUCUUGCAGCAACUAGCAUCGAUUUGAAGAUUCGUAUAAAUUAUAUUUAGAUGGACGCAACUGCACAGCAGAUCUUUUACCAGUGACCAAUGUAUCACUAAUCAACUAAAUCGCUUCUUUUGAUAAGCAGGCUCUAACCAAUCACAUCUUUAAAAUAGUACAUUGAUGUAAUUAGUCGUUUAAAUAUUUAAGUUAUUCUCAUUUCUGAUCAAUUUUUAAUUGAUAUAUUUCUGCUGUUCUCCUUUGAUAUAAAAAGUUUAUAAAAUUGA